AGUGGGGAAUAUUGGGCAAUGGGGGAAACCCUGACCCAGCAACGCCGCGUGAGGGAAGAAGGUUUUCGGAUUGUAAACCUCUGUUCUUGGGGAAGAGCAGAAGACGGUACCCAAGGAGGAAGCCCCGGCUAACUACGUGCCAGCAGCCGCAGUAAUACGUAGGGGGCGAGCGUUGUCCGGAAUGAUUGGGCGUAAAGGGCGCGUAGGCGGCUGUGUAAGUCAGUAGUGGAAGUCCAGCUUUUAAGGUUGGAAGUGCUAUUGAAACUGUGCAGCUUGAGUGCAGGAGAGGUUAUCGGAAUUCCCGGUGUAGCGGUGAAAUGCGUAGAGAUCGGGAGGAACACCAGUGGCGAAGGCGGGUAACUGGACUGCAACUGACGCUGAGGCGCGAAAGUGUGGGGAGCAAACAGGAUUAGAUACCCUGGUAGUCCACACUGUAAACGAUGAAUGCUAGGUGUAGGGGGUAUCGACCCCUUCUGUGCCGGAGUAAACACAAUAAGCAUUCCGCCUGGGGAGUACGAUCGCAAGAUUAAAACUCAAAGGAAUUGACGGGGGCCCGCACAAGCAGCGGAGCAUGUGGUUUAAUUCGAAGCAACGCGAAGAACCUUACCAGGUCUUGACAUCCAGGUAAAGCUGCAGAGAUGCAGUGUGUGCUUGCACAAUCUGAGACAGGUGGUGCAUGGUUGUCGUCAGCUCGUGUCGUGAGAUGUUGGGUUAAGUCCCGCAACGAGCGCAACCCUUGCCGGCAGUUACUAACAAGUGAAACUGAGGACUCUGCUGGGACCGCCGGGGACAACUCGGAGGAAGGUGGGGACGACGUCAAAUCAUCAUGCCCCUUAUGACCUGGGCUACACACGUGCUACAAUGGCCGAGACAGAGAGCAGCGAGGGCGCAAGCCGGAGCGAAUCUCAAAAAAGCGGUCACAGUUCGGAUUGUGGGCUGCAACCCGCCCACAUGAAGCAGGAGUUGCUAGUAAUCGCGAAUCAGCAUGUCGCGAUGAAUACGUUCCCGGGCCUUGUACACACCGCCCGUCACACCAUGGGAGUUGGUAGCACCCGAAGGCAGAGAGGUAACCGCAAGGAGCCAUCUGACGAAGGUGAGAUCAAUGACUGGGGUG
rnacentral:rRNA from 1 species